GCCUAGUUAGCUUAGUUGGUAGUGCGUCUGCCUCGUAAGCACUAGGCCGCGGGUUUGAUUCCCGCCCGGGGUG
rnacentral:tRNA from 1 species